rnacentral:rRNA from 1 species
GCCAGCAGCCAUAGCACCUGCAGUUCAGACUGGAUAAUCCACCUGAGGCUAAGCAGGUUUGGGCCUGGCCAGUACAUGGAUGGGAGACCAGCUAUGAAAGCUGGGUUGCUGCCGGAA